UACGGAGGGUGCAAGCGUUAAUCGGAAUUACUGGGCGUAAAGCGUGCGCAGGCGGUUUGUUAAGUCCGCUGUGAAAUCCCCGAGCUCAACUUGGGAAUUGCAGUGGAUACUGGCAGGCUGGAGUACGGUAGAGGAAGGUGAAAUUCCCGGUGUAGCAGUGAAAUGCGUAGAGAUCGGGAGGAACACCAGUGGCGAAGGCGGCCUUCUGGACCAGUACUGACGCUCAUGCACGAAAGCGUGGGGAGCAAACAGG
rnacentral:rRNA from 1 species